UUGCACAAUGGACGAAAGUCUGAUGCAGCAACGCCGCGUGGAGGAUGACACAUUUCGGUGCGUAAACUCCUUUUAUAUAAGAAGAUAAUGACGGUAUUAUAUGAAUAAGCACCGGCUAACUCCGUGCCAGCAGCCGCGGUAAUACGGAGGGUGCAAGCGUUACUCGGAAUCACUGGGCGUAAAGAGCGUGUAGGCGGAUUGAUAAGUUUGCAGUGAAAUCCUAUAGCUUAACUAUAGAACUGCUUUUAAAACUGUUAAGCUAGAAUGUGUGAGAGGUAGAUGGAAUUUCUGGUGUAGGGGUAAAAACCGUAGAGAUCAGAAGGAAUACCGAUUGCGAGGGCGAUCUACUGGAACAAUAUUGACGCUGAGACGCGAAAGCGUGGGGGGCAAACAGGAU
rnacentral:rRNA from 1 species